UUGAACGCUGGCGGCAGGCCUAACACAUGCAAGUCGAGCGGAUGAAGGGGGCUUGCUCCUGGAUUCAGCGGCGGACGGGUGAGUAAUGCCUAGGAAUCUGCCUGGUAGUGGGGGAUAACGUCCGGAAACGGGCGCUAAUACCGCAUACGUCCUGAGGGAGAAAGUGGGGGAUCUUCGGACCUCACGCUAUCCGAUGAGCCUAGGUCGGAUUAGCUAGUUGGUGGGGUAAAGGCCUACCAAGGCGACGAUCCGUAACUGGUCUGAGAGGAUGAUCAGUCACACUGGAACUGAGACACGGUCCAGACUCCUACGGGAGGCAGCAGUGGGGAAUAUUGGACAAUGGGCGAAAGCCUGAUCCAGCCAUGCCGCGUGUGUGAAGAAGGUCUUCGGAUUGUAAAGCACUUUAAGUUGGGAGGAAGGGCAGUAAGUUAAUACCUUGCUGUUUUGACGUUACCAACAGAAUAAGCACCGGCUAACUUCGUG
rnacentral:rRNA from 1 species